AACGAACGCUGGCGGCGCGCCUAAUACAUGCAAGUCGAGCGAGAAGACGUAGCAAUACGUUUGUAAAGCGGCGAACGGGUGAGGAAUACAUGGGUAACCUACCCUCGAGUGGGGAAUAACUAGCCGAAAGGUUAGCUAAUACCGCGUACGCUCCUUGGACUUCGGUUCAGGGAGGAAAGCGAUACCGUGGGUAUCGCGCUCUUGGAUGGGCUCAUGUCCUAUCAGCUUGUUGGUGAGGUAACGGCUCACCAAGGCUUCGACGGGUAGCUGGUCUGAGAGGACGAUCAGCCACACUGGGACUGAGACACGGCCCAGACUCCUACGGGAGGCAGCAGUGGGGAAUCUUGCGCAAUGAGCGAAAGCUUGACGCAGCGACGCCGCGUGAGGGAAGAAGGCCU
rnacentral:rRNA from 1 species